AGAAGAGGAACACUGUGGAAGGAAGUCUGUGAAGGAGGUUCCUGUUUUGGUCACCUCAGCACUGCCUCAAGUUCAAGGUUUCCAAAAAAUUAUCAGCCACCUCUCUGCUCCUGCUACAGUGCCAUCCACACCUGUCCUGCCAUGAGGCCUCCACCCCUCUGAAACCAUACAGUAACAUAGACCCGUUCUUUCUUGAAUUGCA